rnacentral:rRNA from 1 species
GAGAGUUUGAUCCCGGCUCAGAAUCAACGCUGGCGGCGCGCCUAACACAUGCAAGUCGCACGAGAAAGCGGGAGCAAUCUCGCAAGUACAGUGGCGUACGGGUGAGUAACACGUGGAUCAUCUGCCCUGGAGUGGGGAAUAACGCUGGGAAACCGGCGCUAAUACCGCAUAUUCCCGAGAGGGGAAAGCAGCAAUGCGCUCGAGGAGGAGUCCGCGGCCGAUUAGCUAGUUGGUAGGGUAAAGGCCUACCAAGGCUGUGAUCGGUAGCCGGCCUGAGAGGGCACACGGCCACACUGGCACUGAAACACGGGCCAGACUCCUACGGGAGGCAGCAGUGGGGAAUCUUGCACAAUGGGGGAAACCCUGAUGCAGCGACGCCGCGUGAGCGAUGAAGCCCUUCGGGGUGUAAAGCUCUUUCGGCAGGGAAGAUUAUGACGGUACCUGCAGAAGCAGCUGCGGCUAACUACGUGCCAGCAGCCGCGGUAAUACGUAGGCAGCAAGCGUUGUUCGGAGUUACUGGGCGUAAAGGGUGUGUAGGCGGCCUGUUAAGUUCCGUGUGAAAUCUCCCGGCUCAACCGGGAGGGUGCGCGGAAAACUGGCGGGCUAGAGUGCGGGAUGGGAGAGUAGAAUUCCUGGUGUAGCGGUGAAAUGCGUAGAUAUCAGGAGGAAUACCGGUGGUGUAGACGGCUCUCUGGACCGCAACUGACACUGAAACACGAAAGCGUGGGUAGCAAACAGGAUUAGAUACCCUGGUAGUCCACGCCCUAAACGAUGCAUAUUUGGUGUAGGUCAUUCAGUUGAUCUGUGCCGGAGCUAACGCGUUAAAUAUGCCGCCUGGGGAGUACAGUCGCAAGGCUGAAACUCAAAGGAAUUGACGGGGGCCCGCACAAGCGGUGGAGCAUGUGGUUCAAUUCGACGCAACGCGAAGAACCUUACCUGGGCUCGAACGGCUGGUCAACGAUCGUGGAAACACGGUUACUCCGCAAGGGGGUCCAGUCGAGGUGCUGCAU